GUUUCUGUUCGCGUCGCCCCUUCCUUCCUGUGUCACCGCAAUCAAUGUAACCGCGGUCACCUGCCUCGUGUUUCGUGUUUUGUAUUUAAGUCCUGUCUGCCCCUCGCUCACCGUCGGAUCAUUGUUUAUUGUUGUGUUAAUGUCAUGAUGUCUUUUUGGUUCCGGUCUUUGGUAAUGUCACCCUGUCUUUUUGUUUCACGUCUUUUUCGGUCAGUCUUGUUGUUAGGUUUUGUUAGUGAGUUAUGUCAGUUUGCCGAGUCUUUUUGAGUUUGCUUCAAUAAACCCUGGUCCAAACUGCA